rnacentral:rRNA from 5 species
GAAACCAACAGGGAUUGCCUUAGUAACGGCGAGUGAAGCGGCAACAGCUCAAAUUUGAAAUCUGGCCCUCGGGUCCGAAUUGUAAUUUGUAGAGGAUGAUUUUGGUGCGGUAUCUUCCGAGUUCCUUGGAACAGGACGCCUUAGAGGGUGAGAGCCCCGUACGGUUGAAUGCCUAGCCUCUGUAAAUCUCCUUCGACGAGUCGAGUAGUUUGGGAAUGCUGCUCUAAAUGGGAGGUAAAUUUCUUCUAAAGCUAAAUAUUGGCCAGAGACCGAUAGCGCACAAGUAGAGUGAUCGAAAGAUGAAAAGCACUUUGAAAAGAGGGUUAAAUAGCACGUGAAAUUGUUGAAAGGGAAGGAUUUGUGACCAGACUUUUUCUGGGCGGAUCAUCCGGGGUUCUCUCCGGUGCACUUUGCCCAGUAAAGGCCAGCAUCGAUUUUCGGCGGCGGAUAAAAGCAGUGGGAAUGUGGCUCCCUACGGGGAGUGUUAUAGCCCAUUGUAUAAUACGCUGCUGGGGAUCGAGGUACGCGCUUCUGCAAGGAUGCUGGCGUAAUGGUUAUCAAUCACCCGUCUUGAAACACGGACCAAGGAGUCGAACAUUUAUGCGAGUGUUUGGGUGUUAAACCCUCACGCGUAAUGAAAGUGAACGGAGGUGAGAGCCCGUACGGGUGCAUCAUCGACCGAUCCUGAAGUUUUCGGAUGGAUUUGAGUAAGAGCAUAACUGUUCGGACCCGAAAGAUGGUGAACUAUGCGUGGAUAGGGUGAAGCCAGAGGAAACUCUGGUGGAGGCUCGCAGCGGUUCUGACGUGCAAAUCGAUCGUCAAAUCUGCGCAUGGGGGCGAAAGACUAAUCGAACCAUCUAGUAGCUGGUUACCG